GACGAACGCUGGCGGCGUGCUUAACACAUGCAAGUCGAACGGAAAGGCCCUGCUUUUGUGGGGUGCUCGAGUGGCGAACGGGUGAGUAACACGUGAGUAACCUGCCCUGGACUUUGGGAUAACUUCAGGAAACUGGGGCUAAUACCGGAUAGGAGCUCCUGCUGCAUGGUGGGGGUUGGAAAGUUUCGGCGGAUGGGGGUGGACUCGGGGCUUAUCAGCUUGUUGGUGGGGUAGUGGCUUACCAAGGCUUUGACGGGUAGCCGGCCUGAGAGGGUGACCGGCCACAUUGGGACUGAGAGACGGCCCAGACGCCUACGGGAGGCAGCAGUGGGGAAUAUUGCACAAUGGGCGGAAGCCUGAUGCAGCAACGCCGCGUGCGGGAUGACGGCCUUCGGGUUGUAAACCGCUUUCGCCUGUGACGAAGCGUGAGUGACGGUAAUGGGUAAAGAAGCACCGGCUAACUACGUG
rnacentral:rRNA from 1 species